GGGGUUCUUAUAAGGACGUACUACAGUGUUACUGGGGUUCUUAUAAGGACGUACUACAGUGUUACUGGGGUUCUUAUAAGGACGUACUACAGUGUUACUGGGGUUCUCAUAAGGACGUACUACAGUGUUACUGGGGUUCUCAUAAGGACGUACUACAGUGUUACUGGGGUUCCAGUAGUUUAGUGACUGGAUGAGCACAAGGCCUUGGGUCAGGUCCUCGGCAGCCUCCCACCUAAGGACAAGAAUCUCACACAGUGACAAGAACAACUAACAAUCUGGCAGCCAGGCUGGUUGGCGCAGCUGUGAAACCUCAGGUACUUGAGAUGCUAAGGCAGGAAGAUUUGAAGUUCAAGGCCAGCCUAGACAACUUAAUGAGACCCUGCCUCAAAAUAAAAAUUAAAAAAAAAAAAAAAGGCUAAGGAAAGGGCUAGAGACAGCUCAGCAGGAAAGCAGCUGCCUCGCAAGUGGAAGCCUGGGAUCAGACCUUCGGCACCCACGCCAAAGCCACCACAACCUCAGACUGCACGGCGAAAACAGCUGGAUCCCCCCAGCGGCUCGCUGGCCGGCCAGCCCAGCUGAAAAAGCAAGCACGGGUUCAGUGAGAGACCCUGUCUCAAAAACUAAGAGUGCCAAAGAGGAAGAUACCCGCUACCCACCUCCGACCUCCACACAUGCACACACUCCCAGGGGAGGGCACAGGCCCCAUGCACACACACGCUAAGACUGGAGAUAGAGGUCAGAUGGCAAAAUACUUGAUUUUCAAGAAUCAGGACCUUGGGAACUCACGUUAAAAAUGGAAGUGGAGGUUGCUGGGGGAGGGAGGAGCGUGCCUAGGGUGGAGGGAGCGUGCUGGAGAGCUGGCUCAGCAGUUAAGAGUACUUGCUCUUCUAGGUUCAGUUCCUACCACACAUCUGGAGGUUCACAACCACCUGCGACACUAGUCCCAGGGGAUCUGAUGCCUCUUCUGGCCUUCUGGCACACGUUAUACAGAUAUUCGUGCAGACAAACACCAAUACACAUAAAAUUUAAUAAUGAUUUUUUUAAGGCAGUAGCUCACACUUGUAAUCUUAGCACUACAAGAAAUAGACAACUGGAUUCCUGAUGCUCACAGGCCGGGCUAGUGUACUUGUCAAGUUCCAGGCCAAUCAAAGACACGAGAGCAACAAAAGAAGAAAAGGAGGAGGAGGAGGAAGAAGAGGAAGAAAGAGGAGGAGAAGAAAAAGGCAUGGUAAAUGGUAUCUCUGGUCUCUGACACAUACAUGUGCUUACACACACAUACAGGUGCACCUGUGCACACACAACGAACUGAGGAUGUAGGGCAGAGGCAGUGUUUGCCUAGCCUGCACGAGGGCCUGGGUUCAACCCCCAGUACUUGGGAAAAAAUACAAGUUCUGUUACAAUAUUCAUGAGUAUACUAUUGCAUUUGUAAUUAGAAAAUUAUAUUUGAGAACAGCCUAAGCAAGCCCAUUCCAGUUCAGAAUGACACACCACCCUGACGACUACCAGCCACCAAGGGCCGUGUUGGCCAUCCCCUUCCUCCCUGCACCCAGGUUCAGGGGCAGCCUCACAGACAGUUCUGCAGCCCUCAGAGCCAAGAACAGGCCUAGCAGAAAGCAGCUGCCAGGAUGUUCAUGCAUUAAUAACUCUAGUGAUACGAGCAACUCCGCCAAUGCAGAUGUGAACAGACAAAACGGAACCCUGUGUGUGGUCUCUACUAUGUUCACAGAUUACCUACGCCUUUGAAAAAGAGCUGGAAGGAGUGCUAGGGAUGUCCCCUCAGGAAACCAGGGAUUGGGGUGGACGGUGUUUCUUUUUCAAAACAACAACAAAAAAAAUUUCUUGAAAUAGUCUCAUGUAGACCAGGCUGGCCUUGGACUUGCUCCAUAGCCAAAGAUCAUCUCAAAUUUCUUAACCUAUCUGUGCCUCCCAAGGGCAGAGACCACAGCCGUGUGCCGCUGCAUCCAGUCCAUGCAGCGCUGAGAGAAGAAUGCAGAGCGCCAUGCUUGCACAGGCCAGGCAAGCACUCCACCAAGUGCCGAAAAGCUACACACCGGGCCGGCCCCCACAAGGUUCUUGCCAUUUACCCAGACUGGCCUCAAACUCGAGUAUAAAUGAUCCUCCUGCCUCAGCAUCCCUAAUAAUUGCAACUUUGGAGAUAUGCCUCUUCUCUAGGUUAUAAUUUUUGGAUUCUUCUUACUAUUGCAAUAAUAUUUAUGAAAUAUAAAAACACCAUUUCAUUUUGCAUAUUUGUAAUCCUAGUUCAUAGGAAGCUAAAGCAGUAGAAUAAAUUAGUUUGAUGACAGCUUGCCUACAGUGAGACCUAACAAAAAAAAAUAAACACUUUAGUGUCCUAACUAGAAGUUCUGUCCAGGCCAAGGUGGUAGUUGGUGGGGCACAUCUCCCAGGGGGCACAUGCCUCUUUUGUUUUGUUUUUUGAGACAGGAUUUCUCUGUGUAGCCCUGGCUGUCCUGGAACUAGCUCUGUAGACCAGGCUGGCCUCAAACUCAAGAGAUCCAUCUGCCUCCGUCUCCCAAGUGCUGGAAUUAAAGGUGUGCACCAUCACAGGCUGGCAAUAGAAUUGUUGUUUAAAGAAACUUUAUUUGUUGCCCUAUUAUAUACCAACUGCUUCUUCAGCCUGGAUUUAAAUUCCCCCAGGAGCCUGGCCCCAACUGCCCUUUCUAGCCUUAUGAAUCAUGAUUCUCCUGGGGGAGGAGGGGAGAAAAGAAAGAAGAAGUUCCAUCAGAACCUCUAAGACCUUGUCCCCUGGACCUGGAAGCCGAGGCUCACGGGCUGAGGCCCGUGGGCUGAUACCUAGGUUAUCUGGAAAGCUUCCAUGCCACUGUCCGCCAUAGAGACUGACUCUGUGUUAGGAAUAGGAACCAGAAGGGCUUCCCACUCUCGGGUCAGCGCAGGAACAGGUAAUGAUGAUCCUGAAGGGUCACGGCAGAGACAGAAGAAAGAGGAACUACAGGCAAAGGAAAACACGGCAAAGCUAAACCCUAAAAGAAAGCCAGGCAGGCAGAUGGUACUCAGGUGAAAGGGGAAGAAACUCUUGGCAGAGGUGGGUGCAAACUUGGAACCAGAAACGGCUGGCCUAGGGGAGGAGAAGGCACACGCGGCUGCCCGAGGUAACCUGAGUCCCUCUGAGUGAACGAGGCUAAGGUAGGAAAUGGAGCUGUCCCGUGGGUACUCAGCCUGUUCAUUCAUCCAUCCAUUCAGAAACUGUUAAUGGAGUGCCCGCUGUGCCGGGUUCUCUGCCCGCUCUAUGGAAAGUCAGUGUCCCUUAGUGAAUGGUGGCUUGGAGUCCACCCCUGAACCUGGUCUGCAGGAACCAAGGAAUGCGAGAAAGGCCAGCACUUAGCCAGAUGAGGACUGUCCAUGCCUGAGGCUAGGGCUUAUGGGGUAUGGGUGGAAUGGGGAGAGAAUCUUGGGGCAGGCUUUGCUUGGAGAAUAACACACAUGCUGACAGAGAUACAAAGUCUCUGAUCCCCUCUUCCAGCUCAGUAUUCACACCUGGAAAAUGGCCAUUGGUCCCCAUAUCCUUCUCCUCUAAAGUAAAGGGGUCUGGCAGCAACUACCUGCAACUCAACUUUCACUACCCCCAAGACAGGUGGCGGAGGGGCGUCCUGCCGUUCUGGUAACAGAGCUGCCUGCAGGGCCCACCCAGGCCCUUCCUUGCUGCUCUCCAUCCAGGGCUGGGUGACUCAUCCCUGUUCUGCCUGGUGCCCUCCCUCCCCACGGGUCUCCAGCAGCUUCCCUGGACAUCCCCGCCUCAGCUUCAGCAACAGGCCCAGCUCCGAGCAGUGAUGAAGGCUGCAGAGAACCUCCUGUUCUGCCCCUCUGGCUUUCCAAAGCAGGGUGAGACCAGGGGGAAACAAAUGAAGGAGGAGGAGCCCAGUAAAGUGAGACAGGACAGGACCAGGGCUACUGUUAGACACGGAGACAAACACUCCCCUGGCUAUCAGGGACCACCAUGGACGAUGUCCCUAACUAAAGACCUAGCAAGCACCAGGUGCUCCCUCAGUAGCCUUCUGGGCAUCAAGCCCCAGCCAGGCCCCAGGCCACUGGGCUCCCCAUGUCCAGUGCUAGCUGAUUAGCUGCUGUCCAAAGUACCUGUUUCCCUUCAGUGUCUGGAACCCGAGUUUGGCUUCAGACUAAUUGCUUCCUCUCCUUUUCCUAGCUCUGCUGUACCACAGCCUUCCUGGCAAGGCCCCACCAUCUCCGCUUGGCCUCUGUAGCCGUAUCCUCUUUCACGUCUCCAGGUUUCCAAGUCAACUGGUCCCCUGAAGCCAGGGAGUUUUCUAAACCCUGGAACUGACAACGGCACUGCCAAGCUUGAGAGCCUCAGGGUCAAAUCCAACUGUCCUGCCUCCCUGCUUCUCAACCUCAGUAUGCCCCAUCUGGGAAUCCAGAGCUGGCUGGGCCUAGGCAUGCUCCCUGCUGAAGCACUGCUUCAUCCCCUUGCCUCUUCCCCAGUCACUGGUCUCAGCCCAAGGCUCUGCCCCAGCACUCUUUGAAGGCUUUCCUGUCUCCUCCACCAGGCCUGGAGUCUCUGGAGAGGAGGGCACAGGUCUCAUCUCCCUCUAUAACCCCAACACAAUAGUUUGGCAGAGCAGGCAGAUAGCAAAAGGAGUUUGCUAGAUGAAUAAACAACUGAGACCAGGAAAGAAAAAAAAUAGAAAGGAAAAGAGGCAAGUAGAGUUAUCAGUGACCCAGGCAGCUACGAGGCGGGGAGAAAAGAACAGAGACAGGGCUAAAAAAAGGGAGGCCCCGAGACCCAGAGCGAGGCCAGAGGCAGACAAAGAAAAAGCAGGAAGGGAAAGCCAUGGCAGAGCCAGAGCUGCACCAGGGGGCAAGAGCUGCCAGGAGACAGCUGAGCAGACAUAAUUGGAUCAGAGACAACUCUGUUCCUGCAGUGAGGGGGUGUGACUCACACAAAGAGUAAUGCCAGACACAGAAAUACACACAGUCUCACACUUGGCACACACAUGCAUUCAGUGUGGAGUGACCCAAACUUCUCAGGUGCCUGCUUGGGACUGGGGAACCUUGUACCUGCUUGUGGGGAGCUCAUUCGUCUGAAGGCUGUGUCACACACAGCCACCCACAAUCCAGUUCCACACACAGAAGCCCAGACGUAGAAUCCUCCACCCCCGCCACCUUACCCUGUGCUCAGAACAGAGCCGCCCUCUGGUAUCGUCUUCAGCUGUUUGCUUCUGUUUUGCUUGGCUCCCUGUCAGGGUAUGAUCCUCAUAACAACAGGGUAUAAAAAGUGUGAUUUGAUGCCAAAUUCCCACAUAACAUAAUACUUGGCAUAGAGCAUACACUCCUUAAAUGUGUGGACUUUUGGGAUGCCUGCCCCGGGACAGAAAGAUUCUAGAGAUGCGGCAUGUGCUUGUCGUCUGGGAGCCCAGGCUGAAAGGCAGAAGGCUAAAAAGUAUGUGAUGUCCAGAGAUGGGCAGUGAGGCCACCAAGACUGAGGACCGGAGUUCAGCCUCUGGGACCUGCAUGAUGGCAGCAGAGAACCAACGUCAGCAAGUUGUCCUCUGCAUCCCUUGCCUUGACAUACGCGUGUGUAUGCAUAUGUGCACAAUACACAUAUAAAAUGUAAAAGAUAAAUAAAUAGAACAACGCCCCAGAGAACAGCGCCAGCUGCCCGGAGUCACUGGCAGGUGACAAGAGUGUAUUUGGAAGGAGCUUUUCAUUCCCGUGUUUUUUAAUCUCUACAGGGGCCUGCAGCAUCCACCUCACACGGAACACUGGGAGAGGGCAUGAGGAAGAGAGGACUGGGGGUACCGACAACCCGACACCUAGGCUGAGCUGUCCCUGCACCUGCAGUCCAAGGUGAUCGGGUUCUAUUCCCAUCUGUGCUGGUUGGCAACCUGGCACCCAGGCCUGUGGGAAUACUCUAGAGGGGCCCAGCCUAGGUCCCAGACCUCCACAGAGAACCUCUAGGGCCAGGGUUCCCAGGGCUCUGGCUCCAGGUGGUCCAGCCCAGUGUGGAGGCACACAAGGGAGGAGAGGACCCAGCUGUCUCCAGGGCUCGCUCCUUUCUCUCGUCUCCUGAAACUUUAAACACUCUCGCCUGGAAACUGAGCUGAGGCUCGUUAAAGUUUAAAAGCUGGAGCCUGGGGAACUGGGUGUGGAGGGCACUAAGUCAGCCUAGGAGCUGAGGGCUCCCCUACCCCCAACAGGGACAUAGCCAGAGGCAGACCACCCACUGUCAGGACCACUGGGCAAAUCACAGUGCACUUUGUCAUCCCUUGAUCUUUCCGGAUGACCCCAUGCUGCACCACCCACAGCCCCUGCUGCAGUUCAGACCCAGCACCAUUGCCCAGACAGAUGCAGCCGCAGCAGCCUCUCCUCACAGCAAAACUCUGGUACCAUGAGGCACCUACUCCAGAUGGCCAGAGGCCUGGCCUGCCUCUCUAACCCCUUGCUAGUCCCCGUUCUCAACCAGGGCACCUUUCCCAGUGUCCUGUCUUGUCUCCCUGUCUCUGUGUCUGCAGAAUGCUGCCGAUGUCGUCAAACUCCUGUUCCCUCUCAAGUCCAAGCCACCACCUAGGCAUUGUGCUCCAGGAAACCCUCUCAGUGGCCGCUCUCCAGCACGGGCCCAGGUAGAGCGGCUAUCCAGUGGUGUUGACUGCAUGAGCAUCAGGCAAGCUUACACUUCCUGUCCACGUGGAACAGACGAGGAAUGGAAGCAGUCUGCCCGGGGCCACUCAGUCGAGACUUUGAAUCCUGUGUUUUCUCUGGUGCAGCUUCAACUCAAGCAGGCACUGGAGCAGGACGGCAUCUUCAAUACCUCCAGCCACCACCUUCCCCGUAGCACAACUAUUAACUGCGUGGGUACCUCUCUGGGCUCUGGUCCCCAGGACAGCUCUGGAAGCCCUUUCGUCCAAGUGUCCUAUGUCAGGCCCGGCCAGAGCCAAGGCGGGACUCCUCAGUGCCAUCCCUGGAUUUAGAGUGCGCACCUCUGGGCACCAAGGCCUUAGUUGGCCAUCCUUCCCCCAGGCCCUGCAGUGAAGUCUCAGCACCUCUACAAACCACUUGUCCAGCAAUGUCCUGCGGAGAUGGACGAGGCAAAGGCCAAGCUAGGGCCUAAACUCCCCCAGCUCCAGAUCCUAAAACCAUAUCAGCUCCCAGCCCUGCACCACAGGUAAGAAAACAGACCCAGAAAGGUAAAGUGACCCUCUGAUCACACAGUAAGGACUGGACUUUUACCCAGUUGGGUCCCCUCCAAGGUGUCCUCUCACAAUGACACAACACAGAGAGACCCAAGGACAGAGGUUAGGUCUCCAUGGGGUUCUGGAGACAGAAUGGCCCAACAGGACUCAGAGCCAGGCCAAGGGACAGAGAGAAGGCAACUUCGUGUGUGUGUUGGGGGAAGGACGAAGGGCCUUCAGCCACUUGGACAAGUGAACUCCAACUCCAAGGCUCCAUUUGUCCAUAUCUGCUCCAUUGGAUCGAUGUGUCCUACCCCACAAGAUGAUAGCAGGCUCAGCAAGAAAAAAUUAGGGCUGGAGAGAUGGCUCAGCAGUUAAGAGCACUGGCUGUCUUCCAGAGGACCUGGGUUCAGUUCCCAGCACCCACAUGGUAGCUUCCAAUUGCCUGUAACUCUACCUCCAGGGGGAUCCGACACCCUCACACAAUAUCAAUGCACAUAAAAUAAAAAUAAUAAAUCAUUUUCUAAAAAGACAAAAAAAAAUAGGCAGUAGCCCAGGACUUAGGCACCCAACCCCUUGUCUUUCCCAGCACAGCUUCGAGUCUCAGACUCUGUUGUUGUGGUUGUUGUUGUUAUUGCUUGUUUUUUGUUUCUAGUUUAGUUUCUUGAGAAAGGGUCUCUCUGUGUAACCACCAUGGCUGUUCCAGAACUCACUCUGUACAUCAGGCUGGCCUCGAACUCAUGGAGAUCCACCUGCCUCCGCCUCCUGAGAGCAGGGAUUAAAGGCCUGCACCACUGCCCAAUGAGCCUCAGACUAUUGAGGGUGAGAAAGGUCCUCAGAGACCCCGAGUGAGCCCACAUGUCACGGGAGACAGGAAAAGGCUCAUGAGAUGGGGACCUCUGGACACUGGCUGAGAGACUGUCCUCCAGGUGCAGUCAGGGCCAGAAGGGGACACCUAGACUUCCUCCAAAGGAGAGAGAGGACUCCUGACCUGGAAGUCAUACACUCUUCAGAGCUCUCUCCCCCCUGCUCCAACUCCGAGUCCCCAGAGCUUCUGACAUCAGUCUGCUCUGUUCCUCUUAGGCUCACCCCUGCCUCUGUGCGUGCUCACACACCUGUGCCCCGGGCCCACUCAGAACCGUCAUCCCACACUCCAUGAAGGACCCAGGAGUCGUCCUCUGCCUGGCAUGGACAGGAAUGCAGCAGGCAUCAGAAGACCCGGGCACAGGUCAUCCAGAGCACAAGGGCCAGAGCUGCCCUGCAUCUCUCCUGAGAUCCCUAUGUCAGGAAGGUGCAAUAGCAGAUGAGCGGACAGCCCAGAGUGGAAGGGACAUGCCUCACUCAAAUACAGCAAAAGGAUACCAGAAGUUAGUUUAUUCAGAUAGUUCCCUGAAUGACUGAGAAAUGUUUUCUGCUCCUCACAGCUUUGGGAAACCUGUGUUCGGGUUCUAAUCAGUCUUCUGCUCUCUGGGGUCCAUGUUCAACAUCUGCUUCUGGUACUGGACCUAGACCUGCAGGCAGCAUUGUCUGCCUCCUGUCCACUACCCAGAGCCCAGGCCUGAAACCAGGCCAGGAGGGAGGGAGAGAGUAGGGGCGGCCUCCAGCAACCCCUGUCCUCUGUCCUGGCUCUGAUUGCUGGACCCAGGGCUAUGGUGGCUUCCAGGGACCUCUGGACACAGAGACAGGGAGAAGAGCAGGAUAAAAUCAAUCAAGUAAAUAGGCAGGUGCCACCCCUACACACACACACACACACACAAUCACAGGGCACAGGGCAUGCCCUGGUGCAGGAGACAGCAGAGGACAGUGGGCAGAAUCUCAGCCAAAAACCGAGGUUGAGUCCCAGCUUCCUGAAAUGACCCAGUGAUCCCUGGGGCUCUGGCUUCUACCUGACCUUGGCAAGAGUCACCCACCCCUCUGGGCCUUAGCUUUGCCAUCCAUCAAUCAAGAAUGGGAUGAUGAGAACAUAAAGUCCUUCAGUUCUUUAAAGAGUUAUUGAUGGGGUUAAAGGCCACUGUUGCCUAAGGAUGCAAGCUCAUCUGACAGGGCCAGCAACUCUGGAGCAGGCUGGCCUGGGCUGCUCUCCUGCCUCAGUUGUGUGAUGCCCUUGCUUGUAAGAGACAGACUGAUGACUACCUAGGACUGGCGUGAGACUAAAGCAGAUAACCAAGGGAAAAUGUUUGUCCAGGAGCAGGGCACUUAUCAAGAACUGUGUGGCAACUGCAAGUCCUGGAAUCUAGGAACAGGAAGCUCAGAGACCUCUGCUCAUCACUCAGCUCCAACUGCCACGCAGAGGGGACUAGGGAUGGAGGCUGGCCACUGUUAACACCCAUAUCUGAGGUGUCACGGCUCCCCUGGGCCUAGGUUCUGCUCACCUCCUCUACUGUGGGAAACACUGAGGUGAAGGCAGUAUGAGAGAAGAGUUAAGAGACAAGAUUAGACUCAGAGGCUAACCAUCAAGGCUUCAUGCUCUCUCUUGGGACAUAGCCAUGUGACCAUGUGCUGGCCCCUGGGGUUCUCUGGUCCUCAGAUCCUCACCUGCACCCCACUGAAGGAGGACAGGAUUACCAGGUAGGUUGUACAAAAGUCUCUGUUCAGCAGGUGAAGUACUGGAAUGUGUGUGUGGGAAAAAAGUAUGUUCUGCCCAGAAGCCCAUGACACCACAGCUCUUCAAAUACUCUCAAGUCCGACCUAGCCACAAAGAGUCUGUCUAAGGCAGCCUGGUCCCUACGCCUGCCAACUCCUGUCCUGGGCAAAGCUGCGCUUAUCCAUUAACCAAGUAAGAUGGGGGAGGCAGCUCCGCCCUGUUGACAAAGGGUAGGAGUACCCACCCCCCCAUACACACACACACACACACACACACACACACACACACACUCGCCCUAGAGAGCCAGCCCUGUAGGGAAGCCACACUCCCAGCCCCUGCAUCCUCCUGGUUGCCACCCUCUCAGCCACAGGCCACCACCUUUCACUUUGUUCCUGUCUUUCCCCAACAUCGCGUCCCUGCGGAUGCUGUGGGAGAGAAGCCUGCAUGCGGGCAGCAACACGCUGGCACUGCCAGCUGCCCUUUCCUUCCUCGUCCCUCAGGCUCAGACCUAGGCUAGGCCUUGGAGGAGCUCCAGCCCAGGGCCUUUAAGCUUGGACAGGACUCAGAGGAAGGAGGUAUACACAGAAACCCAGAGACAGUCAGUUGUCCAAGGCGUACAGAGACAGUCACAGAGGGCAAAGGGACAGCAGGAAGAGCAAGCCAAUCGUGUGGGGACAGGUGGAUAAAGCUGUAAAUGAUUAAGGCAGAAAAGCAUAGUACCAGAAGGGAAGGCCAGCACCUCAGGUUCUGGUGUGAGGUCAGGAGGGACCCUGUUCAAUCCAAUGCCCUGGCCUCUAAGAACAGGAAUGCAUCCUCACCUGACCCAGAGCAGCAGAAGGGUGUGAAGGCAGAGCCUUUUCAGGAACCCUCUAAAGGGAAGUUCACACCCUGAAAUGCGGCACUCACAGCAAAACCACAUGUGUGAGGGACAGCUACUGAGGCCCCUAGACCAGGAUCUCUGCCUCAUCAAACCCCAAGCCUGCCCUGUCAUGACAGAGAAGAGAAUCAUGGGACUGGGAGGAGGGGAGAUGGCUCUGAGGGGCUGGAAUUUAGGUGUCCCUGGCUCGGAGGCUCUUGACAGCCUCUUGAACAUGGCAAAGUAGCCACAAAUCCUGUUGCAUCACACCCCUACACAGAAGAGACAAGAGAGAGCCAAGGAGAUACGGAACAAGCCUGGCAGAAGAGCCUGGACAUGCCUUCCCUGCUUCCUGGGUUUAACAGGACCAUAUCCCAGCUGUGUGACUAGAAACAGAUCUCUCUUCCUCUUUCUCCUUCUCAACCUGUCUCCUCGUCUGGAACAUUAAUCUCUGAGAACUACUACAGGGAAGACUCGUGCGUGUCUUUCACUAGGUGAGUAACCAAAAAUACAGCAGGAGGCUGGGUAGAACAGGGAAGAACACAUUAUCCAAAACUGUGGUGCCGAUUAAAAAUAAAGAAACAUCAUGAUGUGGUUAGAUUCUGGUGCAAGAUUAAACAGUGCAAAGGUUGGCAAAGCAAGAUGCCUGUUGUGCCCAGUGAGUGCCCAGAGCGAUGGCCCUCUGUAGAAGGUGGGUAAGUUGCCACUGUAAGUUCCAGGUCAGAGACUGGCCUGGUUCUUUUAUGGCUCCGGCUCCAGCAGCUUGGCACUGAGCAGGUGCCAUGGGGGUAGAGAGAUAAGAGUUUAUAUGAGAGAGUGAUCAGCAAACAGAGGCUCAGGGAAUGUGAGGACUCAAGGCCCAGGGCAGGCACUGAGCAAGCCUGGGCCUCACAUGCACCCUCAUAAAGAGGACAAGUGCUUAAGGGUCCCCCAGCACCCAAGCACUGUAGUCCCUGGAAUAGGGAAAAGCAGAGGUCUACCAAGAUUUAUGCCAGGCAGCUGUUAGUGCAGCGGUCAAGCAGAACCUGCCGGGAACUACCCCUUUCCCUGCUCCCUGUGCCCUCACCCCUGCUCCCUGUGCCCUCACCCCUGCUCCCCAGUUCUAAAGAUACUCAGACCAAUAUCAUCUGAACCCACCCUGACAACUAGAGACAUCAAAGCCCAGAGAGCAGGGGCAAUGGGAAAUAAAAACCCAGAAGCUGGGUAUGGUGGAGUAUGUCUGUAAUCCUAGCACUUUUGAGGCAGAGGCAGGAGGUUCAAGAGGAAUUAACUGUCAUCUUUACUUACCUAGGGAGUUUGAAGCUAGCCUGGGCUACACAAAACAAAGAAAAAAAGACCCAGUUCUCCUGACUCCUACUCUGAAACUGCCACCACCCUGAUUUCUACUUGUGGGGACCUUGACAACUUGACAAGUUAUUACUUUAAUAACCAGACACACACAGUGCCUGCCACUCUGUUUUGUUUUUGUGGGGCAGGGUCUAACUCUGUAGCCCAUGACCACCAGGCUGGUUUAUAACUUGAGACAGUCCUGCCUCAGCCUCAGGAGUGAUAGGGUUACAGAGAUGAAUCACACACAGUUCUGACUUGAGUAGGUGCCCACCCUACUCACCAUCUAGCCAGACAGGUGAUAAAUUAUCCCCUGCGGGCCCCUUUUCCCCACCUUCCUCCUGCAGUAACCAACCCUGUCUGUCACUAAGGGUGGAGUAAAGGCUGAUGAGUUGUCGAGGGACCAGGUUCUACGUUAGACAGUGGCUUCUGUGAUGUCAUUUGGAACUGGAACGGAGAGGUAGUUCCACACCUGGACCCUCAAGUUAGAACACUUUCAGGCCUCCCAAGUGGGCUUGGCCUUGAGAGGGCCACAUCCUGUUAGUGACAACAGGGGCUUUAUCCAAGCCCCACAAGGUCCGGAUCUAAGUGUUUACUCAGGGUGAGUCUCCUGGCUCUGCUGGGCCUCACUUGAGCAAACAGCCACAGCCACCAAGCCAGUCACUCAAGGUCACCCACAUCCUCAUUCAUGAUGACACUGGCGUGGUCAUAUAUGUGUCAUAUGUGCGUCACUGAACUCUCCAGGUAACACACAUCAUCUCAUACAGCGUCAGAGUGAAGCUGCCACAUGAAAAACGCAGGAUUUCAGACACAUAACCAAACUGGGUGUGAUAGCACAUGUCUUUAAUCUCAGCACCGCAGAGGCAAAGGCAGGAAGAUCUCUGUGUGAAUUUGAAGCCAGCCCGUCUCCAUAGUAAGUUCUAGGCCAACCAGAGUUGUGUAGUAAGACCCUAUCUCAAAAAAUAAAAAAAACCACACACACCAAAUUAAUUUUUACAACAAAUGCUCGCAAAUAUUUGCUAAAUCUGAAACUACAUCUAAGGAACUGCUGCAUCCACAUUGCCCAACCUUGCACUGCCCCAGACUUGCACAGACUUUGGGCACCUAUGUCAGUUCAAAAUACACACUGCAUCCAAGUAACAAAGGCGUACAUGGCUGUGCACACCCUGCACACGUGAAGGCACCAGGCCAGGUUAGGUCUUUAGACUCACCUUGUCUCAACUCCACAACAGCCACAGCUGAUGGUUAGGCCGGAACCUUCAGCCCCUGACAGAAGGAAGUCAAGUCCAACAAGAACCAGAAUCUACAAGAGGUGCCUCAACUUGAGGUCCCCUGCGUAUAGAAAGUCAGGAUAGGAUCACACUCAUAAUUUCCCCCUGCCCAUUCCCCAGAGGCAUCCAUGGUGAUGACUGUCCUGCUCAGGGCCCUCAGGGUCCAUCCAGUUUUGAGAUUAAAGAAGAAAAAAAGGAAGGAGUUGUGUGGGCUGUGAGAAAGGGGCGACUACUGCCAGAGCCCCAAGAGUUACUGCCCACCUGGCAAAAGAAGGACUCAACAGUCUACUCCCAGACACCCCUCACCACCUAGCCUGAGCACAGAGCCCAAGGGAGGGCAUGGAGUCAGCAGAUGGACUGGUGCCUCUCAGAGGAAAUUCAAGGGCUUCUAGAAGACUAACUCCAUCGACCCAGCUGUCAAUCAAACUGAGUUCCUGCAGGCACCAGGAUCUUGUUGGCAGGGCUCCAGCACAGAGGGAUUUCCCAAAGACUGAGGCAGAGAGCAGAAGGACUUUCAGGGCUGUCCACUGUCAAGUCCUUCAUCGAGGAGAUAGCCUCGUGAGAAGCUGGGGAUGCCCUGAGCAGCAGAAGCUUAAAGCCUGGCAGGG